rnacentral:rRNA from 1 species
UAGGGAAUCUUCGGCAAUGGGGGGAACCCUGACCGAGCAACGCCGCGUGAGUGAAGAAGGUUUUCGGAUCGUAAAGCUCUGUUGUUAAGGAAGAACGAGUGUGAGAAUGGAAAGUUCAUGCUGUGACGGUACUUAACCAGAAAGGGACGGCUAACUACGUGCCAGCAGCCGCGGUAAUACGUAGGUCCCGAGCGUUGUCCGGAUUUAUUGGGCGUAAAGCGAGCGCAGGCGGUUAGAAAAGUCUGAAGUGAAAGGCAGUGGCUCAACCAUUGUAGUCUUUGGAAACUGUUUAACUUGAGUGCAGAAGGGGAGAGUGGAAUUCCAUGUGUAGCGGUGAAAUGCGUAGAUAUAUGGAGGCACACCGGUGGCGAAAGCGGCUCUCUGGUCUGUAACUGACGCUGAGGCUCGAAAGCGUGGGGAGCGAACAGG